UUGGUCAUGCUGAAACACUGGUUCUCGUAUGAUCACUGAAGUUAAGCAACAUAGAGCCUGGUCAAUACAGAGAUAGGUGACUGCUUGGGAAAACCAGGUGCUGUAA